rnacentral:rRNA from 1 species
UACGUAGGUGGCAAGCGUUGUCCGGAAUUAUUGGGCGUAAAGAGCUCGUAGGCGGUUUGUCGCGUCUGCUGUGAAAACCCGAGGCUCAACCUCGGGCCUGCAGUGGGUACGGGCAGACUAGAGUGCGGUGGGGGAGAUUGGAAUUCCUGGUGUAGCGGUGGAAUGCGCAGAUAUCAGGAGGAACACCAAUGGCGAAGGCAGAUCUCUGGGCCGUAACUGACGCUGAGGAGCGAAAGCAUGGGGAGCGAACAGG